rnacentral:rRNA from 1 species
GGUUGAUCCUGCCAGUAGUCAUAUGCUUGUCUCAAAGAUUAAGCCAUGCAUGUCUAAGUAUAAGCAAAUUAUACAGCGAAACUGCGAAUGGCUCAUUAAAUCAGUUAUAAUUUACUUGAUAGUACCUUUUUACUUGGAUAACCGAGGAAAAUCUUCAGCUAAUACAUGCGUGCAUCCCUGACUGUUUGGGAAGGGAGUAUUUAUUAGAUAAAAAACCAAUGCAUUCGUGCUUUUGGAUGAUUCAUAGUAACUUUUCGAAUCGCAAGGCUCAAAAAGCUGGCGAUGGUUCAAU